UNCAGAUCAGCUGCUUCCAAUUUACCUCUU
rnacentral:piRNA from 1 species